AACUCGGGUGAAGGAACUAGGCAAAAUGGUGCCGUAACUUCGGGAGAAGGCACGCUGACACGUAGGUGAAGUGAUUUACUCAUGGAGCUGAAGUCAGUCGAAGAUACCAGCUGGCUGCAACUGUUUAUUAAAAACACAGCACUGUGCAAACACGAAAGUGGACGUAUACGGUGUGACGCCUGCCCGGUGCCGGAAGGUUAAUUGAUGGGGUCAGCGCAAGCGAAGCUCCUGAUCGAAGCCCCGGUAAACGGCGGCCGUAACUAUAACGGUCCUAAGGUAGCGAAAUUCCUUGUCGGGUAAGUUCCGACCUGCACGAAUGGCGUAAUGAUGGCCAGGCUGUCUCCACCCGAGACUCAGUGAAAUUGAACUCGCUGUGAAGAUGCAGUGUACCCGCGGCAAGACGGAAAGACCCCGUGAACCUUUACUAUAGCUUGACACUGAACAUUGAGCCUUGAUGUGUAGGAUAGGUGGGAGGCUUUGAAGCGUGGACGCCAGUCUGCGUGGAGCCGACCUUGAAAUACCACCCUUUAAUGUUUGAUGUUCUAACGUGGACCCGUAAUCCGGGUUGCGGACAGUGUCUGGUGGGUAGUUUGACUGGGGCGGUCUCCUCCUAAAGAGUAACGGAGGAGCACGAAGGUUGGCUAAUCCUGGUCGGACAUCAGGAGGUUAGUGCAAUGGCAUAAGCCAGCUUGACUGCGAGCGUGACGGCGCGAGCAGGUGCGAAAGCAGGUCAUAGUGAUCCGGUGGUUCUGAAUGGAAGGGCCAUCGCUCAACGGAUAAAAGGUACUCCGGGGAUAACAGGCUGAUACCGCCCAAGAGUUCAUAUCGACGGCGGUGUUUGGCACCUCGAUGUCGGCUCAUCACAUCCUGGGGCUGAAGUAGGUCCCAAGGGUAUGGCUGUUCGCCAUUUAAAGUGGUACGCGAGCUGGGUUUAGAACGUCGUGAGACAGUUCGGUCCCUAUCUGCCGUGGGCGCUGGAGAACUGAGGGGGGCUGCUCCUAGUACGAGAGGACCGGAGUGGACGCAUCACUGGUGUUCGGGUUGUCAUGCCAAUGGCACUGCCCGGUAGCUAAAUGCGGAAGAGAUAAGUGCUGAAAGCAUCUAAGCACGAAACUUGCCCCGAGAUGAGUUCUCCCUGAGACUUAGAGUCUCCUGAAGGAACGUUGAAGACGACGACGUUGAUAGGCCGGGUGUGUAAGCGCAGCGAUGCGUUGAGCUAACCGGUACUAAUGAACCGUGAGGCUUAACCUUACAACGCCGAAG
rnacentral:rRNA from 1 species